rnacentral:rRNA from 1 species
AAUGGGCGCAAGCCUGAUCCAGCCAUGCCGCGUGAGUGAUGAAGGCCCUAGGGUCGAAGAGCUCUUUCGCCAGGGAUGAUAAUGACAGUACCUGGUAAAGAAACCCCGGCUAACUCCGUGCCAGCAGCCGCGGUAAUACGGAGGGGGUUAGCGUUGUUCGGAAUUACUGGGCGUAAAGCGCGCGUAGGCGGAUUAGUCAGUUAGAGGUGAAAUCCCGGGGCUCAACCCCGGAACUGCCUUUAAUACUGCUAGUCUUGAGUUCGAGAGAGGUGAGUGGAAUUCCGAGUGUAGAGGUGAAAUUCGUAGAUAUUCGGAGGAACACCAGUGGCGAAGGCGGCUCACUGGCUCGAUACUGACGCUGAGGUGCGAAAGUGUGGGGAGCAAACAGGAUU